rnacentral:lncRNA from 1 species
AGGGACAUCACCAGUCUGAGGCCAGCCUGGGCAACUUAAUAUGAGUCCCUGUGUCAAAAUAAAAAAAUAACUCAGCACCUCUGGGUUCCCUUCCAACGCCACAGAUUUCAUUAUUUCAAACCUCUGAUUCUACCCCUUUUCUCCCACCAGUCAAGAAUUUAGGAAAACCACAGUGAGGCCUUCCCUGGUCCUAGCCCGAUGGGCUGGUGUCUGCUUUGAGCCUCUCUCCUGAGACAGGCCAGUCAUCAGGAGGGGAGUGUAGUGAGUGGCCCUACCUUCCCUGCUAAGGGGAAAGAAACGUCACUGGCAAGAUUUCCAGCCUACAUCGUAGCUUUAUAAAGUCAACACGAGGCCUCGAGGAUGGGACGACCUCUGCCUGACCUUCCUUUAAUACACAUGCCCGGUUUCUCUUGGUCACUUGCCUGAAUUCUUUUCAGAGAUCAGGAGCACAAAUGUGUGAUGAAGACACUAGUAGUUUGCCCCAGGUCCCAGCCCCCUUCCCGAGCCAGCUGUGUCCUGUGGCCCAUGUGGAGUUUCCAGGCCUUCAGGAUGUCCUUGGAGCUCCGAGCUCCCCCCUUCAGUGUAGGGACCAGUGAGCCUCCCCGUGUUCUUAUCUGUGAAUCCAGGCAACAACAGUUAGGGAUGUCAUCAUUUCAUGUGGCUCCCAGAUCUUCACCCCCAGCUUCUGGAGCGCUGCUGUCUGCAGCUUUCCACUG